rnacentral:lncRNA from 13 species
GGAGCGUACCGCCCUUGGUGAUUGGUGAAGGAAAGGGGGCUUCCGAGGACAGUCUAGCCAGUCAGGACUUCUCCUCCUUCUCCAAGGUGGGGAGAAGAAAGCGAAGGGAGGGCGCCUAUAAAGCGCCGUCUCAUUGGCCUGAAGCUUAGGCGCUGGAGUUGGGGCAAAAGGGAGAGGGAGGGAACCCGAAACCCGCAACGGUGGCCAAUCGGCUCUCACUGCCGUUCAAUCGCAAGACCUAGCUGCAGUGUGAUUGGCCUUCGGCCUUGGUCCCAGGGAGCGGGGAGAAGCCCGACUGGGGUAGUGGCUGACGGCCUGACGGCUAGGCAACUGCCGCCUCCAGCAACGGUGGAGACCGCGGGUCCCCUGCCUAGCAAGUCGGAAAGUACUAUGGUCGGCAGUGCUGGGGUCUGAGCGCUCAGCGAGCAGAGGGGUCGAGGGGCUUUCCUCACCCACAGGAGGCUCUCGGCCGGGCGGGGCCAAUUCGGCGCACCCAAGGCUCCCCUCUGCCCGGGUCGCGCGUGCCGGGUGUCGGCCUCUUCCCCGAAAGGGGCAGACGGACCAAAGGGCCUUUCCCGGCCUGCUUCAAACUCUCAGACGCUAAAGUGGGAGCAUAGCUUCCAGAAAGGCAGCGCCUUUGGGCGGUCGCGCCCCGCCCAGCCGCGGGGGCCACUGAUAGAGAGGCUCGCUGCUCUUGGUGUAUGCUGCUGGGCCGGGGCUCUGGAAACGCCCCUGAGAAAUGAGCUCAUGCUGGAUGCGCGCGCUCCUGGGGCGCAAUUGCCCAGCGCAAAACGGGCCCCGAAAGCAGGUUUAUGUGUCUGUUGGUACUCAUGUAACCUCAAUGGAACCAAAAGCACCUCUUGACCGACAGAUUCUCCCACACCCUGACAGAAAUUGCUGGUGUGUGUCCCCCGCCAGUACAAAACUGCACCACUCGGUGAAUCAAGAGGAUGGGCCACAGGACCAGGGGACAGUGGCGACAGUCAGGAAAUCAGGUAUAUCCAAGCCCAGGAGAGAGAUCUGGGUAGCCUGUGGGUACCUGGAGAUCUGUCUCAGAGAGGAGGGUGAGGUGCCAAUAAUGGUGAAAAGAUACAAGAAAUAGUGGUGUGGGGGUGGCUCUGAGCUGAGUCUGGCCAGAAGCUGGAAUCUAGGGAGGUGCUAUUCACAACAUUCAGCAGAAACAAAAUCACUGCCUUCCAGGAGUAGGAGGCCCAAGGAUAUAGGAGAUUUAUCUUCCUGGUAGGUCUGUCCACCGAAACGCCAGUUUGAUGGGUGACAGUCUACACCUCAGGAUCUGCAGAAAUUUCCCAUUUCUUCAUCUGUCAAUUCAGCCAUCUAUCUGAAUAUAUUAGGAGUUUUAUAGAAUGCAGGCUGACCUGGACAGAAAAUCCUGUGUUCAUGCAGCAACUUUUAUCCAAGGAGUCACUAUCUUUUAUAGUCACUCAUCUGGAGUCUUUUAUAGUAAGGCUGCGAGGUAGUAACAGGACAGGCAAUGCCCCUCUUUUUAUAGAUCAAGAAGUGCUCAAAGUAACACAGUGAGCCUAGCUGAAACAUGGUUUGGGCUGGUCAAAUGCAGGGCACUAAUCUGUUCCCCAAAGACCAGAAAUUGGCUCUCCUCCUUUGGGCCUUGGUACAGCUUCUCCUGGCCUGACCUCUGUGUC